rnacentral:lncRNA from 1 species
GGUACAUACCUGGUUUUGUUUGAUGCUAAAAUAGUCCCCGAGCACUCCAAAGCCUAUAAUCAAGAUACUCAACAUCAAUUUAAUGGAUUUACAAGUGAAUUGACAAAUAAGAACGAACAAAAACCCAACUUACCACCAAUGAUAGCCCUCUGUUUAACUAUUGUUAAGAUGAGAAUAUUGAAUUCACCAGUCUGAGCCUCCCCCUACGCCCAAAUCACAGAGAAAAAAUAUUACCACUUCAGUCACUAAGAGAUUCAUGAUAAAAACAAAGAGAAACACUUACCGAAACUAAAUGAGCACUAACUGCGUGCGAAAAUGAAAGAAAAUAAAUGGAUUAGGGAAAAAUCAAGAACAAGAAAAAAAAGAGAGAUGAAAAAACUUAAAAAAAUUCGGCAAGAGGAGAGGGAGAAGAAUAGACGGUAGAAUUUUUUUGGAAAAGAGAGUCAAAAUUCGAUUAUGGGAAAAAUAAAAUAAAAUCCCGAUAACCCCCAAAAUCCCUUAAUAUUCCCCCGUAAUUCUCACUACACAUCCACUACUUAGAAUCCCC